GGGGGUGAAAAUGGAGGUCGAGAGGGAAAAAAGAAACCAUUGGAGCUGGCAGGGUGGUAGUCUUAAACUACCAAAAAACGCCAACAGAGUCCCAGCUUACGCUCUUUCGUAAAAAAGGGCGGCCUCUAAGAAGUUUAGCGGAGGAACUUCUUAGAGGUAAAAAUUUCUCUGCUAGGUUUUAGGUAAGGGCUCUAACCUAAAACCGAAAUCAAAGAGCCUGUACUUCCUGAAGGUUUGUUUGUUUUCCUUCAAGAAGUCAAAAUUUAAAAACAAACUGCGCCAGGAGAGCCAAUGGUUUCUUUUCCUUCGAUGAGGGUUCGAUUCCCUCCACCUCCACUU
rnacentral:tmRNA from 1 species